GGAGGACCAAAUAGCCAUGGUCAA
rnacentral:siRNA from 1 species